UGGGGAAUAUUGCACAAUGGGCGAAAGCCUGAUGCAGCGACGCCGCGUGAGGGAUGACGGCCUUCGGGUUGUAAACCUCUUUCAGCAGGGACGAAGCGUGAGUGACGGUACCUGCAGAAGAAGCACCGGCUAACUACGUGC
rnacentral:rRNA from 1 species